rnacentral:lncRNA from 1 species
GUGCUUCAUUAAAAAUGUGUUGAAUGAAAUUGGUAAUCAUAGCCCAUAUUCUUAUGGUAACUCUAUUUCAGAAAUGCUUUAUUGUGAGUUCAGCCUACCGGGCAUCCUUUCAUCCAUUAUCUAAAAAUGCCUACAUGAAAAGACAGCUGGCCUUUAGAGUAAGGCAGAAAGUAAGAGAAGGAUCUAUGGAAGAAGAGGGACUCGAACUGGGUCUUAAGGAAGAGGAUUUCAAUAACCAGAGAUGGAGAAGGAAUGAAUUUCAAGCAGGGAGGAAAUCUCCUUGCAUGAAUGUACAGAGGUUAGAAGAGGGCAGCAUUGAAAACAGAAGUCGGUGAAACCCAGGCCCAAAGAAGAAUCUCAUAGCUGGAACAGGGGCAUGGGUCACACAUGGCGUCCACUAAUGGGGAACCCGAAAGCAAGGCUGGAAACCACAGAUCAGAUAUUGAGCUGUGAGGGAGUUCAAAGGAGUUCAGCAAAGCAGGUGUGUGGACUCACUGGCCCAUCCACCAUCUUGUAUUUCCAGGUUGCUGUUAUGUAUGAUCUCUACAAUCUCUGGCCCCCAAUCUGCGUUGACACCUUGGGCGUUUAGGCAAUCUGUUGCCAGGGUAGUUAAGGAAUUUAUUGUCUUUGCUAGGCAAAGGGCACAAGUGGUUUCUUGCACUGACCAAGGGGAGUCCUCUGAGAUACACUGGCCACACACAGUCAGAUAAGGGGAGAGGGGCAUGGUAGUGAGAGAGUAUGGGGUGACAGUCAAUAGGAGCAUUGGAGCAAGAAACCAGUUAAUGUUAGGAUAUAUGAUAGAGUUCCUGCUUCUGGAGUUUUACUCUGGGCCAUUCUCUCUCCCUGUCACCAUGGUCUUUGUGAUUGUCACUGUUGUCCA